UGGGGGAUAUUGCACAAUGGGCGAAAGCCUGAUGCAGCGACGCCGCGUGGGGGAUGAAGGCUUUCGGGUUGUAAACCUCUUUCGCUAUCGAACAAGGCCCGCUUAGGGUGGGUUGAGGGUAGGUGGAGAAGAAGCGCCGGCUAACUACGUGCCAGCAGCCGCGGUAAUACGUAGGGCGCGAGCGUUGUCCGGAAUUAUUGGGCGUAAAGGGCUUGUAGGCGGCUUGUUGCGCCUGCUGUGAAAACGCGGGGCUUAACUUCGCGCGUGGAGUGGGUACGGGCAGGCUUGAGUGGGGGAGGGGUGACUGGAAUUCCAGGUGUAGGGGUGGAAUGCGCAGAUAUCUGGAGGAACACCGAUGGCGAAGGCAGGUCACUGGGCCAUUACUGACGCUGAGGAGCGAAAGCAUGGGUAGCGAACAGG
rnacentral:rRNA from 1 species